rnacentral:rRNA from 1 species
UCAUCCUACGGGAGGCAGCAGUGGGGAAUAUUGCACAAUGGGGGGAACCCUGAUGCAGCAAUGCCGCGUGGGUGAAGAAGCACUCCGGUGCGUAAAGCCCUGUCAGCAGGGAAGAAAAUGACGGUACCUGACUAAGAAGCCCCGGCUAACUACGUGCCAGCAGCCGCGGUAAUACGUAGGGGGCAAGCGUUAUCCGGAUUUACUGGGUGUAAAGGGAGCGCAGGCGGCGCGGUAAGUCUGAUGUGAAAGCCCGGGGCUCAACCCCGGGACUGCAUUGGAAACUGUCGUGCUGGAGUG